rnacentral:lncRNA from 1 species
AUGAAGAGAUCUUGCCAAGUUAUGGAAAAAGAAAAAUGGAAAUGUAAUGAUGAAGUACAAGGAAACAGUUUGGCUGUGAUGCAGCGUGAGGAUGCUCCACCUUGCUUGGAAAAUAAAGCGCUUCAGUCCCGCAAAGUUUCUUCAAAGAAACCCCCAGCCUGGAACUGGUGCGGCUCUGCAGAGGGAAACGCCGCACUGUACUUCAAAGCGGAGAAAAUCUGCAGCUGCCGGGAGCCCGCCUGCCCCAGGAGGUGUCACUGUUGGGACUGGCAGGGUGAGCUCCGGAGCUGCUGUUUGUUUUCCAAAGCCUACAUUGACCGUGAGGUAUGUAGUUCAGCCAUGCCAAAGUCUCCACAAUUUGUAGUGAGCUACAAGACCAGUCCUGGUGAAGAAGCUAGGAGAUCUUGCUCAUCUUCUUGCGCUGGCCCCACUUGCUGUGGAGGAGGCAACCUCUUCAUGCUGCAGCACCCAACAGAAAACCCUGAGUCGUCCUAUCAAGGACAUCAUCUGAAAGAGCUACAGCACAACAGAGCUGCACAACUUCACCAGCGUUCCAGGAAGCCCUUGCCCUGUUGUUGGUAG